UGGGGAAUAUUGGUCAAUGGACGCAAGUCUGAACCAGCCAUGCCGCGUGGAGGAUGAAGGCCCUCUGGGUUGUAAACUUCUUUUAUAUGGGACGAAAAAGGGUCUUUCUAGAUCAACUGACGGUACCAUGUGAAUAAGCACCGGCUAACUCCGUGCCAGCAGCCGCGGUAAUACGGAGGGUGCAAGCGUUAUCCGGAUUCACUGGGUUUAAAGGGUGCGUAGGUGGGUUGGUAAGUCAGUGGUGAAAUCUCCGAGCUUAACUUGGAAACUGCCAUUGAUACUAUCAGUCUUGAAUAUUGUGGAGGUCAGCGGAAUAUGUCAUGUAGCGGUGAAAUGCUUAGAUAUGACAUAGAACACCAAUUGCGAAGGCAGCCCCCUGGGAUAACACUGACGCUCAUGCACGAAAGCGUGGGGAGCAAACA
rnacentral:rRNA from 1 species